UUUCGCCCACGCGCCGAUUUGCUCUGAGCUUGCGGGCGCUUAACAAAUGCAGCUAAAACAGCGCGCUCCACCGGCC
rnacentral:misc_RNA from 1 species